rnacentral:rRNA from 1 species
UACGGAGGGUGCGAGCGUUAAUCGGAAUUACUGGGCGUAAAGCGUGCGUAGGCGGUUCGUUAAGUCAGAUGUGAAAGCCCUGGGCUCAACCUGGGAACGGCAUUUGAAACUGGCGGACUAGAGUUUAGUAGAGGGGAGUGGAAUUUUAGGUGUAGCGGUGAAAUGCGAAGAUAUCUGAAGGAACACCAGUGGCAAAGGCGAUACCCUGGACUAGAACUGACGCUGAGGUACGAAGGCGUGGGUAGCAAACAGGAUUAGAUACCCUGGUAGUCCGCGCCGUAAACGAUGUCAACUAGCCGUUGGUCCUAUUUACAGGAUUAGUGGCGCAGCUAACGCAUUAAGUUGACCGCCUGGGGAGUACGGUCACAAGGUUA